AUUACGUGGACGGUGGUUUCUCCAGUAUCCAGCCGACCAACUCCUGCCCAAUUAGCCACACCCUCACUGUGUCUCCAUUCGCUGGUGAGACGGACAUCUGCCCAAAGGACCCCGCCCCAUUAUGUGACAUCGUGGUGAGCGGAGCGUACCUCCACUGCAGUCUUGUCAACGGUUACCGGAUGCUACACGCCAUCUACCCCUACGACUGGGAGGCUCUGGACAAGGCCUACCACAGUGGAUACAGAGACGGCCUUCACUUCCUACAAACCAGUGACCUGGUCCCAUGUCUGCCACUUCUUAACACACCAUCAGAGCCUCACUUCUCACCUCCUCCUGAUGGAUGGACAGAUCUGGAGACAGAUCUGGAGGAGGAGGAGAAGGAGGAGGAGGAGGAGGAGAAGGAGGAGCAGAUAGAGGGGAGGCAGAUGAAGAGAUGGGAGCAAAAGGAGGAUGAUGAUGAUGAAGAGGAGGAGGAGGAGGAAGAAGAAUGGGUAGAUGAGGAGAAUGUGUGGUCCUCCCAGACAGAGACCAGAGGCAGUCAGAGAAACUGUUAUCUUGAAGGGGGAGAUCUACCUUGGCAUCUGGCAAGCCUGGAGCAGGCCAUUUACCUAGCCCUGCCCACCUGGAUAAACACAGCGUUGCUAUGCAACAUCAUGGAGUUGCUGUGGACUCAUCCCCUACUCCAUGUGAUGUCAUAUCUGCUCCUCCCCUUCACCGCGCUACUCAGCUUCCUGAUUGAAAAUACACACAGGAUGGGAGUUUUAGGGUUCUGGCUGUGGCAGGAUCUACGCCAGAUAACUCUCUAUUUAAUGAACAUCCUGGUCUCCAGCCUCCGCAGAAACCUACAGAACAGUGUGUGUGUUCUCAGGGUACGACCACCGCUCUUCCUGCCCGUGAUGACAGAGGUGCGGGCGGAG
ensembl:lncRNA